CGACCGGCGCACGGGUGAGUAACACGUAUCCAACCUGCCGUCUACUCUUGGCCAGCCUUCUGAAGGAAGAUUAAUCCAGGAUGGGAUCAUGAGUUCACAUGUCCGCAUGAUUAAAGGUAUUUUCCGGUAGACGAUGGGGGUGCGUUCCAUUAGAUAGUAGGCGGGGUAACGGCCCACCUAGUCAACGAUGGAUAGGGGUUCUGAGAGGAAGGUCCCCCACAUUGGAACUGAGACACGGUCCAA
rnacentral:rRNA from 1 species